rnacentral:misc_RNA from 1 species
AACACAAAACAAAGCUAAUCUGCAGAGCUCUUGUUGAUAGCACCAAGACAGGAAGCACCAGCAAAUAUGAAAAUAAUAUAUUGUCUUCUCUUCGUUGGGAAUAUCCUUGUGAACGUCCAGACAAAGGACGUGGCUCCAAGAUCUUCGUCACACCAGUAUCCGGACUUGGAGUUUAAGUGUGAAAACCGUAUUGGAUAUUUUGCUGAUGUAAUCCGGAAUUGCAAGGUUUUUUAUCUGUGUACAAAAGAAGGAUUGAAGUACAACUUUGUCUGUCCUCCCACCCUGGUGUUUGAUGAGAAAGACUCUGUUUGCAAACGAAAAGAGAACGUAGACUGCAGGGGGCCAGAAGAAACGAACGUUUUGAAGAGUCCAUCUCACAAGUAUCCAAAGCAACUUGAGUUUGAAUGUAAAAAGGACGCCGACCCUAAUCUUUAUUAUGUUGACACCAUAAGGGAUUGCCGUCACUUUCACCGCUGUGUGAAUGGCAAGAAAUACGAGUUCAACUGUCCAGAAGGCUUAGCAUUUGACAGCAGUAAGCAGGCUUGUCUUCUAAAGGACCAUGUCAAGUGUGACCGUAAAGAGCCAGAGGAAUAAGUCAUUCUCUUUGUUCAAAUAUGUUUACGUGUGAAGCUACUUGUUAUUGUCAAAAUGUUAAAAAUAAGUAAUAAUUAAAUGUGUAAUUAAUACUUGAAACAGUCGGUACUUGGUGAAACUCCAUUUUUUUAAACAAAUAUGGGCUUAGUUUGAUUGUACUAUCGUUAUAUUAUCAAACAAUGCAAGUUAUCUAUUUUACUCCAAGAAAAUGUGAUUUAGGACGUUCUGUAAGCUAAUAUAAAAUAUAUUUCUCCAAAUUAACCUUUAAGACAAACUUGUCUCAGUUAUUUUGAUUAUUAUACACGCAGGAUAAUUAACUGUUCAUCCUGUACUGAUUAAAAAUAUUUGACUAGCAGUAGCAAUAACAUAUGAAAAUCUAUGUUGAUUUUUCACUGUUUGGAAAUUAUGAAUAUUAAAGAGAAACUUAUAUAAA